rnacentral:lncRNA from 10 species
UUUUAUAAAGGGCAAUUCCCCUGCAUACAUUUUCUUGCCUGCCACCAUGUAGGAUGAGCCUUUCCUCCUCCUUCAUCUUCUGCCAUGAUUGUGAAUCCUUCCCAGCCAUGUAGAACUACAAACACAGGGAAGAGAAGAGAUCCAUGAGAAGAUGGAGACAGAAACUGGAGUUAUGCAGCCACAAUCUAAGGAAGACCUGGAACCACCAGAAACUGCAAGAGUCAAGGAAGGGUUCUCCCAUAGAGCCUCUGGAAAGAACCUGGCCUUGGCCAACCUUGAUUCCAGACUUCUGGCCUUCAGAAUGACUUUCAACUAUUUCGGGGGCACUGGCAGAAGAAAUGAAUACUUACUGGCAUGGGUCCUGAACAUUAUGGAGAUUUCACUGAGACCCUUCAUCAGUCUGGCCUGUUGGGCUUCCCUUAUGUCACUCCGAAUGUCCACAUCUCCUUAGCCCUAGCCAUCAUUAUGGUCCACACCAAAGCUCUAUCUGUUUGAUAUAAAUGUUAAUACUUGAUAAUGAUGUUAUAAUUUGAUAAUGAUAUUAUCAAAUUAAUAUUAAGUUAUUUAGGCAAUAUAAAUGUCCAGAGAGGGAAUGAACUUCUUAAAAAUGUCUCAGGUAAUCUUCUAAAAAAUCUAGCUAGUUCCUAAUUCACAUGUGAAACAUUCUAGCCCAUAAUUUUCCAGUUACCCAAUAUUAAAUCUCAAUAUUAAAUUUCUAUCAGAUCAAUAAUUUCAAAGCAAACGAUUAAAUUUUACAUGAUAAAACAUGAAUCCAAACCUGUUUUUCCAAACAAGUUAGUGAAUAACUGUCCAAAUUCAAAUGGCUGGAUUAUCAAUUCAUUGCUCUUAGCCAAUUUGUCUCUCUUUUGAAAUCCAGGCCUUUCUUGGCCCCUAGGCAAAGAUGGAGCAGCUGUUGAUGCAAGGUGUUGUCCAGCUGGGAGAAAAUUGAAACUGUUACAGUUUCUGUACUGUCCAUGAAGUUUUUUACAUCACAAGAAUUAGAUAGUCAUCUGGAAGAAACUGCAGCAGUGAAUUCUAAUUUUAAAGAAAUAUAAAUAUCUUCUGUAAUUUUUCAUUUUUCAACAAUAGGAUUGUGUACACGUAGCCUUAAAAUUUAAGAAUAUUAAUAAUUUUUAUAUUUUGAUUUGUUGUGAAAGGAUACUAAUUUAUAACAAUUUUAAGUAAAUCCUAUUGGUAUUUUAUAAAAUACCAUUUUAAAGAGAUGACGUUUGAUUUUCUAUCAAAAAUUUAACUAUGUUUAGAAAGUAGCAACCCUAAUGAAGCACAGUCAUAGUUAUGAAAAAUGAAGCACUUAGAACUUUUACUUAGAGUUUAGACAGAUUUUU